ACUCAUUCCUGGAAAACAUUUGAAAUGGUUCUCAUUUACCUGAGAAAUGCAUUUUGGAAUUGUCACGGUGCAGCUUUUAGGUGGAAGCAGAGCAGACCAGCUCCUAGAAAUGGGAUCUAAAAUAGAAGUGACAAACGUGAGACCUUUGCAGCAUCCCGCUCCAGGGUCAGCGUCAGGUGGGGAGUCUGGCGGGGGCGGUCGCCCACCAAACCUCAGGGCAGCUCUCCUAAGGCGAGCUCGGGGAGGACGGAAGCUUCCCGCGGAGGAGAAGGGCAAAAGCUUGCUUGAUCUUGACUUUCAGUACGGAUACAGACCGUGAAAGCAGGGCCUCGAAAAGCUUGCUUGAUCUUGACUUUCAGUACAGAUACAGACCGUGAAAGCAGGG
rnacentral:ncRNA from 1 species